AGCAGGGCAAUGACUAAGAGGAGUAGGGCUGCGGCUGUGGCAUAGAGAGGAAACGGUUGGUGGAAGUUUCCCCAUGGCAGGUUUGAAGGUCGCUUAGGAGCUUCUGUGCUGAAUGAAGUAGGUGCAGACGUCUGGCCGCGUUAAGGCUUAGAGCUGACUUGUCAACUUGACAUGUCAAAUUGACGGGUCAGAAAACAUUGGUGGUACCACGAAAGUAUGCGCUUUCGUCCUUUGG
rnacentral:ncRNA from 1 species